AAAGAAAGGGCAAUAGGUAAAUAAUGGAAUUACGCCUUAUUAACCAAAUAUUUAAAAUAUAACAUUCUUAACAAAAUAAUGUAACACCAUACUCUAACAUGUCAUUUAUGUUUUAGGUUAUGUCGACCGUAUACAAACUAUGAAAUAUCACAAUUUUGUUGAACACUCUUUUACAUCAAUUACUCAAAUACAUCUAAUAAGCAUUUUGAAAGUAGUGGAAAAAUAAAAAAGACGUAUAUCAAACAAAGCUCAACAAGAAAUAUAUUGAAAUCAGAAAAUCUAAACUUUUAUUAUUGGAAAGUAAAACGAAAACUUGCGAGUUGUGAGAAAGGAUGAAGAGUAACUUGGGGAGAGGGGGAGGGACAAUUCAGUGCCUCUGGUGGAUAUUAUUACUACUAAAAACGUAUUUACAAAUAUUCUAUUUGAUGGUCUAGAUUGGUUCUAACUACGGUCAUGCAGGAUGUAGGUCAUGUGGGGUCAUGUUUUCUGAAAUUGUUCGUAUGUUCAUGAUUGAAAAAGAACAAUAAAUUUGUCAGAGGUAGAAGAAUCUAUUUUAUCAUUAGUCACAUGAUGUAAUAGUAUGAUACACUUAAAAGAACGCUAAAAAAGGAAAUUAAAUACUAUUCUAGUUUCGUUUUUUGCAGAAUGUUAUUGUGUUAUGUAACUGAUAACAAGUUUAUUGUUAGGCUAGAGGUAGUAAAAAGUUUAGAUCUUAUAAAUGUAUCAAAUUACUAGAUUAACUACAGUAUAUGAAUAUUUAUUGUAUUGAUAUUGUUUAAUAAUAGCAAAUUCUUACUAAUAAUGAAUCUCGAAGGGCUUAAAGGGGAAAGGUUAACAAAAAAAAACAUAAGAAGAUACAAGAUUUUAAGGUUUAGAGAAUCUGAUCUCUAGAAAUUAUAAAAAUGAAUUCAUAGGAUUUGUAUGAUUGUUUAAAAUUUGUUAACAGAGAAAGAAUCACUUGAUGCAGCUGAAAUUGAAUAAACAGGUUUAUUUCUGUUUAAUAUGUAGGACUCAAAUAUUUUAGCCUCUUCUCGUUUGUAUUUGUUAGUGGUGUUUAUUAAUAUUCUUUGUUUUAAAAUUAUCAAUGUCAAUGUUUUGCAAUUUUCUUAUUCAUUUGACCAUGUAAAUUAUUUUUAUAAUUUUUUCAAAAGUUAUUAUACAUAUAUGCAUAAAAUGAUGGACAACAUCCACUAAAUGAGAAAUAAUCAAAGAAUUAAAUAAGCUAACAAAUAAAGUAGAAAUAGAACAACAUCUAACUGACAAUGAGCUUUGAUAUUGUAACAUAUUUCAAAUAACCCGCGCACAUUAUAACCUUCCGGCUACGUAUUAUAAACGGACUCAUCCGAUAAUCUCUCUUCGUUCUUUAUAUUCUUCCGUCUUUCUUAAACUUGGAUUAACUUAUGCCUUUCGUGUUACGGGAAAAAUACGUUCUGCUCCAAGUUCCUGACAGACAAAGUCAACCCACACGACUAGACGGACUUAUAGUUAGUCGCUUAAUGUGUGGAAUGUGACGGGUUUGAACUAAUGCGCUGUUACGUGUACCGAUUAUUCAGUGGUGAGAAACUAGUGUAUCUAGAUCAUUUUAACGCGAGUGCAGCGCACUUAAGGAAAAAUUGAAAAGACAGAAAGUGCACUCACGUGGCCAUCCAUUAUCUCCAAUUUUUAUUCUGCCAAGUUUUCAACGAGGAAAUAACAACGAAUUCAUUAUUAAAAUUUGAUUUAAUCGGAAACACUGAUUCAGGUGUACAUACAAUCAUGGAUAUGUCAUUUUUGGUUGGCCAAUAGAUAAAAAUGGAAAGAGAGAUAUUGCGGAAACAGUAUAAAGCGCAACGAUAUUUCAAGUGUAAAGUCGCAACAAAAAUUUAUAGGAAAACAUUUAUUUUUCUCAAUUAAAUUUGAAGUAAAAUCGUUUCUGUGUCACUGAUAGUUACAGAAUUAAAUAUGUUAAUUGUAACAUACAUCAAUAAUUAUUUCAAUUACGAAUUCUUUUAAUAAAGAGAGGAAAAAAUAACAGAUUGAUACAAGUUUUCUGUAAAAUUUAUGUAGUUUAUUUAUUUUAUAUGUAAAACACGACAUGGUUCGCAAUAAAAAUAUUAAAAAUUUUUAAUGUUCUUAACUGUAAUAAUCUGUUACGUUACAUUACCAUCCAAAUAUUCGUGAUAUUCUCUGACUGAUGGCUUUAAUUGUCAUGCAAAAUGUUUGAAUAAAAGUCGCUUGUGAGUAUGUAAUAUUCAUUAUUUUUUGGAAUUAGUCAUUACCUAUAAAAAAAAAUAAUUUCGAAGUUUACGAGCAUUACAUUGUACAUCGAGCCUAAAAAGGUUAACCUAAAAUUUUUAACCUAUAUAUGUAUAUGUGACGCGUCCCAGAAACCGUUAUAUAUAACAGUGUGCCGUCAAUAUUUGUAUGAAUUUGAAUUCCCACUAGGAAUCCAAGUACCACUAUAGUAUAUAUGUAUACAUAUGCAUUGAUACCUCUUUUAUAAAUUAAUAAAUUUAUGCAUUCAAGAAAAAAUUUACUUAUUACAAUCAGGCAUACAGUAAUGGUACAAAAAAUCUGCAAAGGUGGCGUAACUCCAUAAGAGAUAUUAAGCAAUAAAGAUAAUAAAUCAGUUGCUGGUUCCUCAAGGUAUUGCUAUUCUUCCAAAUGAAUUGAUGGGAAUCAUUUGACAAUUGCACAACAACUUUGCAAUUGCAAUACAACUAACACAAUUGAAGUUCAAAUGUAACUUCAAAUAUAUUCUUAAUGUAGAAGAAUCACUAAAACUUCAUCACUACAUAUAGAUUUCAUGUUCUUCUUGCAGACUCUACAUUGUAAAUAUUAUAAUGACAAAACCUUGAAAUUGAUUAAAGGUAUACCAUUGUUUUGAGAAUUUUAUGAUUUCUUGCCUGAUGUACAUGACAAAUGAUGUAAUAUCUUGUUUCAAGGUAAAUUACUUACCUCAAUUUCCUUUUUCAGAGAAUAGAAAUACAUUGAGUAAUAUCACAACUUCCUUUAUUGGAAGAUGAGACAUUAUUGAGAUUUCUUUUACCUUUUUUUACGACAAAACACAAUUUCAAAGAUAUCGAAAUGAUGACAUAAACUCUCCCUAUCGUGCAGACAUAAAAUUAUGUUAGCAGUCGUGUAUUACCACAUUGCAGUAUAAAAUUACAAGGAAGUGCUUGAGAAACCUAUAUCUAUGUACAAGUAAUUAUAGACUUCGCUCAUGUAUGAUAUUUUUCUUAACCAUGAGAAUAUUCUGUUCUAAUUGGUAUUCUGAAAAGGUAAAUAACUAAAAGUAAAUGAUACAUUUAAUAUUUUACUCACUUUUAGAAAAAGAUAUAACCAGGUAUUGUUAAAUAAAAUUUCAAAUUUGUACAAAAAUUCCAGACAGGCUUAAUGUAUUAAUUAUUUCUAACGUAUGUCACACAGAUUGCAGACAAGCAUACAUUGUGUAACUAAUACAAUAUGUUGGAUGCAUUAUAAUUACAAUACAUGCGAUAUUACGGUGUGAACUUUGAGACUUCAAGACUGUUGUUAAUACAACCUGAUUGCUCUUAAUAUUAUGCAUUUAUUAAACAUGUAUGAGUGUCGGUAAUAAUUAAAACUGAGACUGUUUAGACGUUUUAUAUUAGUUUUAACAUUCUACACAUUUCGGAAUUUGAUGCUCGGUUUUUUUAAGAAUAAAAACCAAAAACAUUACGUAGGAAAAAUCAUGAUUAUCAUAUGUAUAAUGAAAUUAAAUAAUUACAAUUAUAAAAAAUUGUUUAAAUCGACACGAUCUAAUCUAAAUAGAUAGAAUUAUCAUUUUAAAUUUAAAUUCAAAUAUUACAUGCAAUUUAUAACGGGCACUAAUAUAAUAAGAUAACAACUCUAACGGGCAAAAAGUGAUGAUGAUCGUAAUUUACAUUCCUAAACAAUUUGUCACUUUCAUAUAUUUACACGGAUAUAUACUAUAAAGUUUGGGAAACUUGCGAAAUAUCAAAAUAAGAUUUUUAAAAGAACCGUCAAUUCGAAGGCGUAUUCGUAGGCGUAUCUCGUACAAUUAUCUUAAAAUUAUUUGCGCCAUUAAAUGUACAGUGUCUUUGAUUUUGUAACGUAGAUGUUCUGUCACUGUUAAGGAGUUGGGUAAAGUCCAAUACUUAUUCGUUACACGCUCACGAUUCAAGACCACUGCGCUAUACUUAGCGUAUAGAGGACGCGAUUCUAAAUCGAUGCGUACUUGUACCUUUUAUGUGCUUUACUUUUCGAGCUAAGGAGCUAUAUACAUAUGUAUACCUAUAUCAGAUACUCGAUCGCUGUCGAGACCAAUCAGAACUAAAUCCUAGAUUUUGUAUAAAACAAAUAAUAAUUGAGCAAUUAUUUGAAGAUCGGUUUGCGAGCUCGUACUGGCAAGAGGAGAGUGCGAGGUGUGAGCUCAUAUUGAAAAGGGGAGAGUGAGAGCUCGUACAUAAAAGGGGAGGUGGAAACUUGUACUAAGAAAAGGGGAGUGUGAGCUCGCACUGAAAAAAGGGGAAGUAGCUUAUACUGGGGUUAUUAACCUGUCACAACCACUUACAUUUCCGUCAAAAGGAUUUGACUCACAACUUGAAUUCGACGAAACGUAAUGACAAAUGUAGUGUCGUUAUUGUUAUCAGUUCUUAGUCAAUAUGAAAUCUCUGUAAUGAAUACGUCUAGACGAAUGUACGUAUGCUGUUUUUUUCACGUAAUUUUCACAUAAUAAUCGGUUUGCGGUUGUAGCGAGAAUUCCGAGCUGUGCGAUUCAGUCAACUUAUUUUAUAAAGAUGAAAACAAAGUUGUAGAGAUACAAAUCCACAAACUCUUUCCUUUCAAAUUAUAACAUUUUAAAGGCACAUUAUUCUUAUCGAUAUUCGCUAUCUGAAUCUGAUUAGUUCCGUGAGGUUGUUUAUCAGUUUACUGAUAAACUUUUUAACACACGUUAUUCAUCGGUAGAUAAGACUGAUUAGUUCUUUGUUUAUGGUGCUAAAAGACAUUGAGUAAAAGAAGCAGCAUUUUGAUUACUGCGAUUUUCUGAUUACGUUUAUCUUCCUUUGCGUAUAGUAAUGUAAUUCAAAGACUUCGCGGAAUUGAUAGCAUUGUUAAUUAUAUCAAUAAUAGUUAUACCGUGGAAUUUGUAAAAGUUCAUUUAUUCAUACAUUGAGAUAUUUAUGUGUUUGCGUUUGAAUUAACCACAAAAUGUUGGCAAACGUUAAUUAAUUGUAGGUAAUAUUUUUCAAAACUACCAGCUUAUAAAAUUGUAUUAUACAUUAUUAAUAAAAUUGUUAAAGAAAAUAAAAAGUUAUUCUAGCUACAAAUGAAUUGGUGUCCCUUUCAGUAAUAAUAAAGAUUU